rnacentral:rRNA from 1 species
GAUGAACGCUGGCGGCGUGCCUAAUACAUGCAAGUCGAGCGAACGGACGAGAAGCUUGCUUCUCUGAUGUUAGCGGCGGACGGGUGAGUAACACGUGGAUAACCUACCUAUAAGACUGGGAUAACUUCGGGAAACCGGAGCUAAUACCGGAUAAUAUUUUGAACCGCAUGGUUCAAAAGUGAAAGACGGUCUUGCUGUCACUUAUAGAUGGAUCCGCGCUGCAUUAGCUAGUUGGUAAGGUAACGGCUUACCAAGGCAACGAUGCAUAGCCGACCUGAGAGGGUGAUCGGCCACACUGGAACUGAGACACGGUCCAGACUCCUACGGGAGGCAGCAGUAGGGAAUCUUCCGCAAUGGGCGAAAGCCUGACGGAGCAACGCCGCGUGAGUGAUGAAGGUCUUCGGAUCGUAAAACUCUGUUAUUAGGGAAGAACAUAUGUGUAAGUAACUGUGCACAUCUUGACGGUACCUAAUCAGAAAGCCACGGCUAACUACGUGCCAGCAGCCGCGGUAAUACGUAGGUGGCAAGCGUUAUCCGGAAUUAUUGGGCGUAAAGCGCGCGUAGGCGGUUUUUUAAGUCUGAUGUGAAAGCCCACGGCUCAACCGUGGAGGGUCAUUGGAAACUGGAAAACUUGAGUGCAGAAGAGGAAAGUGGAAUUCCAUGUGUAGCGGUGAAAUGCGCAGAGAUAUGGAGGAACACCAGUGGCGAAGGCGACUUUCUGGUCUGUAACUGACGCUGAUGUGCGAAAGCGUGGGGAUCAAACAGGAUUAGAUACCCUGGUAGUCCACGCCGUAAACGAUGAGUGCUAAGUGUUAGGGGGUUUCCGCCCCUUAGUGCUGCAGCUAACGCAUUAAGCACUCCGCCUGGGGAGUACGACCGCAAGGUUGAAACUCAAAGGAAUUGACGGGGACCCGCACAAGCGGUGGAGCAUGUGGUUUAAUUCGAAGCAACGCGAAGAACCUUACCAAAUCUUGACAUCCUUUGACAACUCUAGAGAUAGAGCCUUCCCCUUCGGGGGACAAAGUGACAGGUGGUGCAUGGUUGUCGUCAGCUCGUGUCGUGAGAUGUUGGGUUAAGUCCCGCAACGAGCGCAACCCUUAAGCUUAGUUGCCAUCAUUAAGUUGGGCACUCUAAGUUGACUGCCGGUGACAAACCGGAGGAAGGUGGGGAUGACGUCAAAUCAUCAUGCCCCUUAUGAUUUGGGCUACACACGUGCUACAAUGGACAAUACAAAGGGCAGCGAAACCGCGAGGUCAAGCAAAUCCCAUAAAGUUGUUCUCAGUUCGGAUUGUAGUCUGCAACUCGACUACAUGAAGCUGGAAUCGCUAGUAAUCGUAGAUCAGCAUGCUACGGUGAAUACGUUCCUGGGUCU